UCAGUACAAGUUCCAAAACUCAAAGGACAAAGCAGUUUUUUACUCAAGAUUGCAUCAAAAUAGAACAAAUUUUGAAGUUACAUGUGACUACUCAUAACAAGAGUAAGGGUACUACAAAUGCAAUAUAGCAGCACAGCAAAGACUACAAGCAACUGCCUACUGGCAGUCUGCACAUAAGCCUCAGGCUUUUGCUAUAUCACAAGGAUACACAAGCCUGGCG
rnacentral:lncRNA from 1 species